ACGUAGGGGGCGAGCGUUGUCCGGAUUUAUUGGGCGUAAAGAGCGUGUAGGCGGCCAGAUAGGUCUGCUGUGAAAACUCGAGGCUCAACCUCGAGCUGUCGGUGGAAACCAUCUGGCUAGAGUCCGGAAGAGGAGAGUGGGAUUCCUGGUGUAGCGGUGAAAUGCGCAGAUAUCAGGAAGAACACCUAUGGCGAAGGCAGCUCUCUGGGACGGUACUGACGCUGAGACGCGAAAGCGUGGGGAGCGAACAGGA
rnacentral:rRNA from 1 species